AAAUACUGACUGGUACACAGGAAUGUCAAUCAUUAUUCUGCGAGAAUUCAUUGGCUGUCCGCAUUUUUCCAUGGUCGAGGGAACUUCAAGUUCAGAUCGCCAAGGAGCUGUGUUUUCUCUAUCGCUCCAAGACUUUUGAAAAUGGUGUCACAUUACGAGCUUUUAAGUAGAAUACAUUUUAGACAAUCUCCCAAAGAAAAACAUAGGUUUUGCAAGUGGUUAAUGAAACAAGCUCUACUUCGAAAAUCAAUGAAUUGUCCCUCUUGCUGUCAUCUCAUGAAGUUGAGAAAGCCAUAUGGCACAAAGGAGUCAGCCUGGUGAGUAUGCCUGUACUUUUUGUUAGUCUAUAGGGGAAAACUGUUAUCAUUUAUUUUUAUGCAUUAUAUCAGGGUAAUAUGUCUAAACUGGAGCAAGUGAUGUAGGCUACUGAUGGAUUUGAUAUAUCAUAGACAAGUAUGAACAUAUUCACCAUAGGCUUUCCUUGCUUGAUAACUUUGUGUAGCUAUAUUGGCAUGGCAUGUUUUGACCACUAAUGUCUACUCAAAAAUAACCUCAAUAUUUAAUUGUCAGGAUAUGCCGAGAUUCUUGUCACAAAAGGAAAUCAGUCACCAGGUCCAUCCGAAAUGGUUCUCUGUUUGAAAAUUCUCAUGUUGGGCUGCACACAUGGAUGCAUUUCAUAUACAGAGGGUCUGGUCUGAGAAAGGAUUAUGCAUCAGCAAAGAAAAUGGGCUGAAGAUACGGUAAUCAAUGACAAUUUAA
ensembl:lncRNA